GACGAACGCUGGCGGCGUGCUUAACACAUGCAAGUCGAACGGAAAGGCCCUGCUUGCAGGGUACUCGAGUGGCGAACGGGUGAGUAACACGCGGGUGAUCUGCCCUGCACUUCGGGAUAUGCCUGGGAAACUGGGUCUAAUACCGCAUAGAAGCCCUCUUUAGUGUGAUGGUUGGAAAGUUUUUUCGGUGUGGGAUGAGCUCGCGGCCUAUCAGCUUGUUGGUGGGGUAAUGGCCUACCAAGGCGGCGGAGGGUAGCCGGCCCGGGAGGGUGGACGGCCACAAUUGGGCCGGAGUACGGCCCAAGACCCCUCGGGGAGGCAGCAGGGGGGAUAUUGCAAAAUUGGCGGGAGCCUGGAGCAAGGACGCCGCGGGGGGGAUGACGGGCUUCGGGUUGGAAACUCGUUUCGGUAGGGGCGAAGGUUUGUGUGACGGUACCUAGAUAAGAAGCACCGGCUAACUACGUG
rnacentral:rRNA from 1 species